AAUCUGCAGUGAUACCAAUGAGCUAGGUCCUGGCAGCUUUAACAGUGCACCAAACAGCUCAUCACAAAGUAGCACUGCCCUAGGAAAACGGCAGUCCGGGCUAGGCUGACACUGAGGACAGGAGGGAAGGAGCUUUUGUGAUUCCUCAAACAAAAGGACACUUUAUGUGCCUGGUCUACAGCAAAGCAGGGCUGUAUAGCACUUUGCACAUGUAUGCUCAGUUCUGAUCUGUCUGCAGGAGUGAUCAACCCACCCAAGGGGCUACCAAAAGAAGCAGAGAGGAAGCCCAAGCAAUGACAUGCAAAGGAAGGUGAGUUUUUAAAAAGGGCACAAGGAACUGACACAACUUGUCAUUCCUGUGAGAAGUGACAGCUUUUCACAGGCUGUGGGGAUAAGAGAGCAUAGCAUUCUUCCCAAAGACAGACAGGAGGGAGCAGCACCCGGGUCUGUGUUACAUAGCUGCACACCUUCAUACACCUCUUCUGAUUUAACAGGAGAAAUUAUCUACAUUCAAAAAGCACUUCCAAAAUAAGGAAAAAGGCUUCGCACCUACACGUGUGUAGCCAGGAAAAAAUCAAAAUGUGUUUGGAAACUUUUGAUAGCUGCUGGAAAAUGCAAGGGAAAUCUUCCAGGUCAGUUUGUUUCAGCGAGAAUCCUGUAUGGUCCUUGGAUGUCCUCUUAACAUCCUGUAUUCCUAUUGUUCUCAACUCAGAGCACACACAAGACCCUACUGCAUGCACUGAUUUCUCCAAGAAAAAAUAGACAUGUGCAGGCUGAAGAGAAGCUGGGGAGUGCUUCACUUGAGAUAUAUUCCAUGAUAUACAUCUUGCACUCUAUAUGAAGGUGUUCUAAAGGGACAAUUUUUUUUAAUUCUCCUCAAUUUGAUAUUUCAUCCUAUGAUUCUUCACAUAAAAACAGCGCCUUCGAGCUUCCAAGAACAUUUGAUUUAUCUGCUUUAUGGAAAGCUUAGAAAUGAUACUAGUGAAGGACCUGCUAUAACUGAUCCAUAGACUUGUUAUAAAUUAUUUUGGAGAUUUUGAGAUCACUAAACCUCUUCUUUUACCAUAGACUGAAGCAAAACUGUUCUUGGACAGUUUUCAUUUUUUCCUGUGGCCAUUUUAGCAACAGAAUCAUUCGUGUUUUGCUUUCAUUUCAGGGAAAAUCAUAGAAUCAUAGAUUCAUAGAAUCACCAAGGUUGGAAAAGACCUCUAAGAUCAUCUAGUCCAACAGUCCACCUAUCACUAAUAUUUCCCACUAAACCAUGCCUUUCAGUACAACAUCUAAACAUUCCUUAACACUUCCAGGGAUGGUGACUCCACCAUCUCCCUUGGCAGCCUUUUCCAGUACAUGACCACUCUCUUGGAGAAGAAGUAUUUCCUAACAUCCAACCUAAUUACUUUAAAGUCAUUGAGAUAAUUUUGAAUGGCAGCUACAGACUUGCACAGUUCACUGUGCAUUAAACUACUGAGAUUAUUAGCUAUAUCAUUAAAAAGGGAACUGAAAUAAGUACAGAUUAAACAACUCCUUAAAUUGUUUAAGCAAGAGUUUUUCUAGUAACUGAAAGAUAGAGAUGAGAUACCGCCUGCUUAUGUCCUUAGCUAUUGAAAGGUCUAGCCAGACCCAAAUCCUGAGAUACCCAGGUACUCUGUUUUCCCCGUAGAAGCUGGGAUAGCAAAAGAGAACACCAUUCUAUUAAAAUAAAUAAACUUUUCAACCCAAAGAUAUAUAUCCCAUCCCUUAUCUGAAUGUAUAUGGAGUCAUAAAAUGAAAGGAUCUAUAGAGACAUACUUGCUUAGUGGAGGACAUUACUACAUGAGCCUGGGCUAAGGCCUACGUGCUGUGAUGUAUGUUAUACUGACAACGGUCAGUAACAGAGUCAGCAGGAAUAGGGAGAUACAUAAGCAGAAAAAGCAUUAGCAAAAGAGCAAAAAGGUACAAUUUACGGUGAGGUAAGGAGUUUCUUGUUGCCAACAAAUCAGAGUAGAAACUUAGGUGCGUGAUUGCCUCGUGCCAACCACAUACUAAGCAAUCAAUUAUGGAGGCGCUAUGCAUGAUUCAUGCCUGCAUCCAAUCAGAAGCACACUUUGUGUUAUUUAAAAGUUGUAUUUUUUCCAAUAAACUGUCUCUGUUAUCACUU
ensembl:lncRNA